ensembl:lncRNA
GACGUUCCAUCAAGACGGGAUGAUAUUAUGACAAUCGCAGAUUCCUCAGUUUUCCCUAAAGUUUUGUUGACAUUGUUGGGUAGAAAACAGAAGUUGCAACUAGAGCCUUAGAGGAUUUGCCAAACCCAGUAACAAUUGUACAAAUGGUCGAAAGCGAUAAAUCCUACAGAACACCGACAUGCAUUACAUUCACAGCUGUAAAAGAUGCAAUAGCAGACCAACUUCUCCCAGCAACCAGUACCUUCAAAGCUACCAAACUGAGAGUCCCAUAAUCACAUUCCUGACAGGAGACUGGGCAGACUUAUUGACCAAUGUCAUGAGUAGAGUCUUGAAGAAAGAGCUUUUUCCUCAGACAUGAUGUCACGAUGCCCAAAUGCAGGUGGAGUGUUUCAUACAGCAGGAGGUGUUGAGACAUCACAGACAUUGCGAGUAUGAUCUGCAGAGGACUGCUCUGGACACCUUUUUUUUUAGAGCAUCUGAAGGGUAAGGAGAACUACAGAGACCUGUGACAAGUAAAUUGUCAAAUUGUCCUUGUGCUCUUCCACGGACAGGCCUCAGUAGAAAGGGGGUUUGCAGUCAACUCCGCUCUCACUGUUGUCAACAAAAAGGAGCAGUGCUACACAGCACAGAGACUGGUGUAUGACACUAGAGAAUUUGGGUAGACUUUUAAUUGUUUUUGUUUUUUUAAGUCAACCUCACCAAUUACAUCCUCCUCCAAGGCAGAAAAAUCAAGGCUACCUAGAUGCACAGCAGAACCACAUGAUGGCAGAGAAAAGAAAAGAGGAAGAACAAAGACCUGAAAGAAAGAGACGCCUGGAAAAGGACAUAGAACUCCUGCAUAAAGAAAUGGAAAAGGUAGUUGCAGAGGCAGACCUCAAAGUCCAGAGAAUGUAUAAUCAAGUUUAGCAGCUUCUGAAGAUUAAAGGUUGAGCUUGGACUGUUGUGAGCACACUCUCUAGUAUAAUUUUAUUAACUUUAUUGACAUGGAUAAAAAAAAGAAUGUAUUCAGAGAGAGAAAGGUCUGAAGGAUCUAUCAGGUGAGCGGUGAAGUUGUUCUUUGCAAUGUCCACACUCUAUUCUCGCCUUCAUCCACCAUUUGCUUUCAAAGUCUUUCAACCAUUAUGACUAUUAGCUAAACAGCUUGUUGCAUAGUCUCAUCCCUCUGAUAUACUGUUCAGACUGCCACCUGUUAUACUUUAUAUACAAUGUCAAGAAUACAUAUGAACAUACUUCUCUCUCUUCCCACCCUCUCUCGCUCCACUUCAAUUAAUUGUAUUGACAUGGACCUUUUUUAGAUUGUUGCAAAUGGUUAAACAUAACAUUUUCGUCUGUAACUAGUGCUGAGCAAUUAGUGCUUUUUGAGGUUGGUUCGGUUUCAGUCAGAUAAUAAAUAGACAUUAAAUGCACUAUGCAUUAUGUGGGUUGAAUGCUGUAACAACACUGAAUAAAACAAUUCCUAAAAGGCCCAUGAUGGUAGUGGCUGCCGAUUUACUGGUUAUCACUUAUUAAUGAUCGUUAUUCACAUGUAAAAAAAA